UACGUAGGGUGCGAGCGUUGUCCGGAAUUAUUGGGCGUAAAGAGCUCGUAGGCGGCCUGUCGCGUCGGAUGUGAAAGCCCGGGGCUUAACCCCGGGUCUGCAUUCGAUACGGGCAGGCUAGAGUUCGGUAGGGGAGAUCGGAAUUCCUGGUGUAGCGGUGAAAUGACGCAGAUAUCAGGAGGAACACCGGUGGCGAAGGCGGAUCUCUGGGCCGAUACUGACGCUGAGGAGCGAAAGCGUGGGGAGCGAACAGG
rnacentral:rRNA from 1 species